rnacentral:rRNA from 1 species
UACGUAGGGGGCAAGCGUUGUCCGGAAUCAUUGGGCGUAAAGCGCGUGUAGGCGGCUCGAUAAGUCUGCUGUGAAAGUCCAGGGCUCAACCCUGGGAAGCCGGUGGAUACUGUCGAGCUUGAGUCCGGAAGAGGCAAGUGGAAUUCCUGGUGUAGCGGUGAAAUGCGCAGAUAUCAGGAGGAACACCAAUAGCGAAGGCAGCUUGCUGGGACGGUACUGACGCUGAGACGCGAAAGCGUGGGGAGCAAACAGG